UGUGUGUGUGUGUGUGUGUGGUGAACAUUCAUGUGCAUGCACAUGUGAUACAUUCAAAGUGUGUGUGGGAAGAAGGAAUCCUUCCAGCCGUUUUCUUUCUUGAACCUCUUCCUGUGUUCCAACCCCUCAACUCCUCCCAGCCCACAUGCAGUUCUCAGAGCCACACCAGAGGACACAGAAGAGGGGAGAGCAGCUUGAGUUUCUCUCUGUCUCUCUCUCUCUCUCUCUCCCUCUCUCUCUCUCUCCUCCUCCUCCUUUUCCACCAGUCGCCUGUAAAUCCCUCCAGUUCCUGCCGACACCUUUUUCCCAUGUCUCUCCAUCCAGUUGGUGUUGGUGUUUCUCAUAUGACUUGGCAGAAGUGAACCAUGCGUUGAAAAGACUGACUCCCCAAAGCGGCAAGGCCUUGGGGCGCCACGAGCGCUGAAGAAAAAAAGAAAAGGUUUGCCUCCAUCACCUGUCUCGA